rnacentral:tRNA from 1 species
GCCUGGGUGGCUCAGUUGGUUAAGCAUCUGACUUCAGCUCAGGUCAUGAUCUCAGUGUUUGUGAGUUCAAACCCCAUGUCAGGCU